rnacentral:lncRNA from 1 species
GGGAUGGCAGAGGGGCAAAAAUUACCUGGGAUGAGGGGUUCUCCUUCAACCCUGGACUUUGACAUGAACCUGCAUGAGCAGAUGUUUCUGUCACCAGUGAUUACCCUAUAUUGCUCUUAGUAUCUCAUAGAGAACACUUCGUUCACAGAAUGUCAUCCAAAAAUGGUGAGCUUCAAGUUCUAGAAGCCCUUGGCCAGGCUUUCCAUCGCCCUACUGCUGCCUUCAGCCCACACAUUCCCUCUUAUGGCUCACGGAAUCUCUAAGUCUUACAGAUUUGAUCUCAUUGUUAACAUCCACAUUCUCACUCUUCCCUGUCUCCAUGGUCACUGCCUCAGGCAUGGUCACCUCUCUUCCAGUGGCCUCCUCUUCCUAAUUGGCCUCUCUGUCCCAAAGUUCUUUUCCUCUCCCAUUUAUCCCCCUGAGCCAGUGCAGUCUUCCCGGAGCUUAGCACCAAGCUGCCACCUGCCCAGCCAUUGGCUCAUUGUCUGGAAUACUCUCCCUCCAGCCUUUUCCUGGUUCACUCCUAAUUAUCUCUGCUAUCACACCUUGGUCUCCAAGUCCUUCUCCUGUGUGCUGCCUCAACAACCAAGGCAUCCUCCAGAAUCCUGCCUAUCAGCCUGUAGAAGAAGGAGAAGAAGAAGGAAGGAUACAGGAUGAGAAUCAGAGGAUGAAAAAGAACAGAUAGGGCCCCAGAGAGGAGAGAUGGAAGCACACAGACGGAGAGAAGUUGAAAGACAGAGAGAAAGAAGUGGGAUGAGAGCCUGGAAUAAAGGCAACUCAGGCCCAAAGAGAGGAAGUGCCUAACCCCAGGCCACAGAGCGAGUUAACUAGUGAUGGACCCACAUUUAGCUCAUCCUUAUUUGAGCAGCCCAUGGGCCAACGCUG